UACAGAGGUGCCAAGCGUUAGGCGGAAUCACUGGGCUUAAAGCGCGUGUAGGCGGGUCGUUAAGUGUCUUGUGAAAUCCCACGGCUCAACCGUGGAACUGCUGGGCAUACUGACGAUCUUGAGACACUCAGGGGCUGUCGGAACAAAUGGUGGAGCGGUGAAAUGCGUAGAUAUCUGGAGGAACACCGGUGGCGAAGGCGGCAUCCUGGACCAAUACUGACACUGAGGAGCGAAAGCCAGGGGAGCAAACGGG
rnacentral:rRNA from 1 species